CCUACGGGUGGCAGCAGUGGGGAAUAUUGCACAAUGGGGGAAACCCUGAUGCAGCCACGCCGCGUGAGUGAAGAAGUAUUUCGGUAUGUAAAGCUCCAUCAGUCGGGAAGCGAAUGACGGUACCUGACUAAGACGCCCCGUCUAACUACGUGACAGCAGCCCCGGUAAUACGUCGGCAGCGAGCGUUAUCCGGAUUUACUGGGGGUAAAGGGAGCGUAGACGGUUCUGCAAGUCUGAAGUGAAAGCCCGUGGCUUAACCGCGGAACGGCUUUGGAAACUGUGGCACUGGAGUGCUGGAGAGGCAAGCGGAAUGCCUAGUGUAGCGGUGAAAUGCGUAGAUAUUAGGAGGAACACCAGUGGCGAAGGCGGCUUGCUGGACAGUAACUGACGUUGAGGCUCGAAAGCGUGGGGAGCAAACAGGAUUAGAUACCCGGGUAGUC
rnacentral:rRNA from 1 species